CGCAGGCGCAGGCGGCGGCCUCGGGGCGUCCGGGACCGGACGGUUGCUAGGGUGACAGCGAUACAACAUGGCGGCCGGACCCUAACGCUCUCCAUGGUGGGACCACCGCGGAGGUCCUAGUUCGGGACCCCGCCUCCAAGAAGUGGGAGCCAGGGGCCGCCCUUUCUGUGCCCUUCUUCUCCGCCCGAUAUCCGCGAGGGGUAGUCGCCAGCCUCCGCAUCCAGGAUGAAGAACUAUAAAGCAAUCAGCAAAAUAGGAGAGGGAACGUUUUCUGAAGUUAUGAAGAUGCAGAACCUGAGAGAUGGAAACUACUAUGCAUGUAAACAAAUGAAACAGCACUUUGAAAGUAUCGAGCAAGUGAACAGUCUGCGAGAGAUACAAGCCCUGAGGCGCCUGAAUCCACACCCAAACAUCCUCACGCUGCACGAAGUGCUUUUUGACAGAAAAUCUGGUUCUCUUGCGCUAAUAUGUGAACUUAUGGACAUGAAUAUUUAUGAGCUAAUUCGAGGGCGAAGACAGCCGUUAUCAGAAAAGAAAAUUUCGCGCUAUAUGUACCAGUUGUGUAAAUCCCUUGAUCACAUGCACAGAAAUGGAAUAUUUCACAGAGAUGUAAAACCGGAAAAUAUAUUAAUAAAGCAGGAUGUCCUGAAGUUAGGGGACUUCGGGUCCUGCCGGAGCGUCUGUUCUAAGCAGCCGCACACAGAGUACGUCUCCACCCGCUGGUACCGGGCCCCGGAGUGUCUGCUCACCGACGGCUUCUACUCCUACAAGAUGGACCUGUGGAGCGCGGGCUGCGUGCUCUACGAGAUCGCCAGCCUGCAGCCGCUCUUCCCUGGAGCCAACGAGCUGGACCAGAUCUCAAAAAUCCAUGACAUCAUGGGCACGCCUGCUGCAAAGACCCUCAGCAAGUUCCAACAGUCAAGAGCUGUGAGUUUUGACUUUCCUUUUACAAAGGGGUCAGGAAUCCCUGUGCCAACGGCCAGUCUGUCCCCGCAGUGCCUCUCGCUCCUGCGCGCAAUGGUGGCCUAUGACCCCGAUGACAGGGUCACUGCCCACCAGGCCCUGCAGCAUCCCUACUUCCGAGAGCAGAGGGCAGCUGAGAAGCAGGCCAGCCACGGGAGGAGAGUCACGGCCUGCUUUCCAGAGCGUCCUGUGGCCCCCGAGCUCCUCAAGCAAACCUGGCAGAUGUCCACGGCGGGCAGGAAGCAGAAACAGCCCCUGCGGCCAGAGGAGGGCCGCCCCUGGAGACAGGGGCCCGCCUGCCUGGUGGAGCUGCCCAGACUCCAGCUUUCGGGGGGGACCACGCUGUCGUCUUACGCCAGCCCCGCGCUGCAGUCCGUGUUUGCCCCGGGAGCCGACGGGAAGGUCCCGGUGCCGAGACCCCCGAAGUUCAUGGGCGCGAGCCAGAAGGCUCGCAAUGACAGACAUGGACCGGCGGGCUGCAAGCUUCGAAAACCUGGCGCGCCGGAACUGCGGCUGGUGUACGUGUGCCUCUGCCCACCAGGCCAGAGACGGGGCGUCUGCGAGAAGGGGCAAGAAAACCCGAGAACUCUCCAGAUGAGCCGUGUUCUUGAGCAGCCUGUCUUACAUCAGACCGUGACUGCUGGGCCUGUGCAAGCAUCUGUCUUCCUGAAUCACGUAUUUAUGCCAGAAAGUUAACAACUUCCUUCAUGAGUGCAUUCCAGGUGCCCGCUGACCACCUAAGGUCGUAACAUCAGUGCAGCAAGAGACUAACAGCCGCAGCCAAGGGGACGUCUGGUCCAAGAAACAUUCUCUUUUACGCUAUGUGUCCCAAAAAAAGUGGUUUGGAAAUGGAAACAACGUCUUUGGGUGAGCGGUGUCCGGCUGCGCGCCUGGAGGGCCCUGCCCCACCCGCCUCUUGCUGCUCCGGCGACGUCGGCUCUGCCAGCGCCCGACGUCCGUCCUGCGCCCAAGUGCCGCUCUUGGCUCCGCCAUCGUCGCUCCCUCGAGAC